rnacentral:rRNA from 1 species
AGCAGCCGCGGUAAUUCCAGCUCCAAUAGCGUAUAUUAAAGUUGUUGCAGUUAAAAAGCUCGUAGUUGAAUUUCGGGGUUAGUAGGUUGGUCAUGCCUCUGGUAUGUACUGGUCUCACUGAUUCCUCCUUCCUGAUGAGCCGUAAUGCCAUUAAUUUGGUGUUGCGGGGAAUUUGGACUGUUACUUUGAAAAAUUGAGUGUUUAAAGCAAGCUAACGCUUGAAUACAUUAGCAUGGAAUAAUGAAAUAGGACGUUCGAUCCUAUUUGUGGUUUCUAGGAUUGACGUAAUGAUUAAUAGGGAUAGUUGGGGCAUUAGUAUUCAAUUGU